UACGGGGGGGGCAAGCGUUGUUCGGAAUUACUGGGCGUAAAGGGCUCGUAGGUGGCCAACUAAGUCAGACGUGAAAUCCCUCGGCUUAACCGGGGAACUGCGUCUGAUACUGGAUGGCUUGAGAUUGGGAGAGGGAUGCGGAAUUCCAGGUGUAGCGGUGAAAUGCGUAGAGAUCAGGAGGAACACCAGUGGCGAAGGCGACUACCUGGCCUGUUCUUGACGCUGAGGCGCGAAAGCUAGGGGAGCAAACGGG
rnacentral:rRNA from 1 species